rnacentral:rRNA from 1 species
AUACGGAGGCGGCUAGCGUUGUUCGGAAUUACUGGGCGUAAAGCGCGUGUAGGCGGAUCGUUAAGUCAGGGGUGAAAGCCCGGGGCUCAACCCCGGAACUGCCCUUGAUACUGGCGAUCUAGAGUCCGGAAGAGGUGGGCGGAAUUCCCGGUGUAGAGGUGAAAUUCGUAGAUAUCGGGAGGAACACCAGUGGCGAAGGCGGCUCACUGGUCAGGCACUGACGCUGAGACGCGAAAGCGUGGGGAGCAAACAGGAUUAGAAACCCUAGUAGUCC